rnacentral:rRNA from 1 species
AGAUUGAACGCUGGCGGCAUGCCUUACACAUGCAAGUCGAACGCGAAAGCGGAGCAAUCCGCAAGUAGAGUGGCGAACGGGUGAGUAAUACAUCGGAACAUUUCCAGUAGCGGGGGAUAACCUGUCGAAAGAUAGGCUAAUACCGCAUACGACCUACGGGUGAAAGCGGAGGACUCUUGGGCAACUGAGGGCUUCGCACUAUUGGAGUGGCCGAUGUCGGAUUAGCUAGUUGGCGGGGUAAAAGCCCACCAAGGCUACGAUCCGUAGCUGGUCUGAGAGGACGAUCAGCCACACUGGAACUGAGACACGGUCCAGACUCCUACGGGAGGCAGCAGUGGGGAAUUUUGGGACAAUGGGCGCAAGGCCUGAUCCAGCCAUGCCGCGUGAGUGAAGAAGGCCUUCGGGUGUAAAGCUCGUUUCGGUGGGAACGAAACGGUUCGUAGCUAAUACCGACGGUACUAAGUGACGGUGACCCGAAAGAAGAAGCACCGGUCUAACGUACGUCGACAG